ACAAUGUGGCCUGCAGUUUUUUCUUUUGCCUCUAGAGUUCAUAUCCUUGUCAAUGUAACUGCACAAUAGCACACCACAUAUCUUCAUUCUCAAGGUGGUGUUUUCAGUGAACACAGACAUCUCUGAUCAGCCAGACGGCAGCUUUACCAGUGUAUUGCGCCAAUGGACAAAGAGGGAAACAUGAAGAUAUUCUGUCUGCUUCUUGCAGCUACUUGCAGCCCCGUGUUUAGUGAAGAAUGGAAGGCCACUGUUGUGAAAAGCCUUGAUGCCUUGGUUACAUCGUGUGUUGUGGUACCCUGUUCAUUCACUCAUCCUAAAGAAAACCUGCCCUCCUCCAGACUCAGAGGGAUCUGGCAUCGUUCAAAUAACAAAAAUGAAUUAAUCUAUUACGAGGAUCAGACGAGGGUCUUGGAAAACUUCAGGGGUCGCACGCGGUUGUUGGGAAAAUUGGGUCAGAACAACUGCACCUUAGAAAUGACUGAAAUUAAAAAUCACGACAAUGGCCCUUUCUGUUUCCGGAUUGAACUAGCACGAACAGAGACUGAUACAUCCACUAAAGACAAGUUCUCCUUUGUUGAGGAUUGUGUCGCGUUGAAUAUGCUUGCUGAUCCUCCAAUGCCUGAACUCCGUCACGCAAAGACAGCCACUGAAGGACGUCCUUACAUUGUCACCUGCUCAGUCACCCACACCUGUUCAUCCCAUGUACCUAAACUCACAUGGAGUAGGAGCACAACAGAUGGGGUCACUGAGGUUCACAGAGAAAUUCAUUCUGGCAAUUGGGAGCUACAAUCCAUCAUGACGUUCAUUCCUGAGGAGAAGGAUGAUCACAGUGAAGUCACCUGCACAGCUACAUUUAAUGGAGAGAAGACAUCCUCUGCAACGCUGAAACUCUACUUAAAACGUACAGGAAACUAUAACCACAUCAUCAUUCCUGCUGUAGUAGGGAUUGGUACCGCUAUGAUUUUUGGAGUCUUCUGCAUUUUCAUGGUGAAAAAAUACAAGAGACGCAUUGCAGAGCUCCAAAGUCCAGAUGGCAGCAUGUGGAACCGGCUGUCCAGGAUGUCUCGCAGGAUUCGUUCUGGUGGCUCAGGACCAUCUCAUGCUGACCAAAGAAGGCCUCAGGUGAACUUGAUGGAGUUUGGUCAUACGCCCAAUAAUGUGAAUUUACAAUCCUGCGCUCACCAGAAAAUCUCCAAGCCUCAUUUCCCAUCCCCCAAAAGGACCUUGAUAGCGGGGACGAUUACAUCAACACUGCGGACCUCAACAUCUAUGGAAACCUCUGAUAAAAGAAAAUUAAUUUCCAAGGACAGAGUUUGUUAUCAAAGCAAGAAACAAAUCUAAUAGUGAUCAUUUGUAUUAGGCACGUCUAAUGAUGUUAUGCAUGAUCACUGUGGUAAUCUCUUCUAUCAAGCAAAAUAUAUUAAAAUAAUUUGAUCAUAUUAUUUAAGGGAAGUAAAAUGCAUUUUAUAUAUAUGAAAUUAUUGUUAAACUGUAUUUUUGAAUGUUAUUAUAAUUACUUCUGCAUAGCUCUAAGUAUGCAUCUUUUUUCUGUCAGUGCAUUUGGUUGUUUAGGCGUAGUGUCACCAUUGUUAGGCCUGAAACAUGCCUUAGUGAGAUAAAUGGAUACUAAAGGCAGUAAAUUAAGAAAACAAGGAGGGAUAAGAAUUUUAAUGGACACCACUCUCAUAUUUGUCUGUUAAUUAUAUGGGCUGGAAACAGGGGGAACCUCUAGCUAAGCUAACUAUCUGCUACCUUUAUUUCCACAUUUGCCUUACGGACAGGAAAGUGGUAUCAAUCUGCAAAAGUCAGAUAAGCAUAUUUCACAUAGUGUCAAACAUUUGUUUUAAGAAUUAAAAUAUAUACACACCUACCUAGACAUAUACUCAUAUACUGUGCUGGUGAGUUUGAUAUUUCACACUCAGUUGUGAAAUUGAGUGAAUACAGAUCCUGGACACACAUUUUUGCUAACAGAAAGAGAAACUAUAUGGCUUAAUCACGGAAAAGCUGUAUGGAUGAAAACCCAAAGCACAGACAUGAUUUACUUUGAGUAAGAUCUACAUAUUUACCAGGAAAAAUUAUCUUUCUGCAUCUAAAUAAAGGGUGAAUGUUUUUUGUCUAUCAGAAAUAUGUUAGAAAUCAGUUUGAUAUGGUGCAUUGAUUUUAUUGUAGAUUUUAUGUCUUUUUGAUUAUUUAAGAAUCACUUGUUUGUCAAACAAGAGUGUGAUAGUCAAUAUGCUUCACUAAACAGGAAUGUGCCCCUCCUUGUGGUUAGGAAAUCCCCCUCUGCCCACAUUUUAGGGGGAGGUUUCUUAAAGUAAGGGUAGAGGCUUAUGUUAAAGAUGGUAAAAUGCUUCAUUAAUAUUCGCCACUGCAGGACACGUUGUCUGCAGUUCCAGGGCUUGGUGUAUAAAGAUGCCAAGCAAUGUUUAAGGUUUGCUGGGUUCCUGCCUUGUCAUGGAUAUCCUUUGGUUUAUGACAGCUGAUACCCACAUGAUGUCACUGACACUUUUCAAAAGAAGAACACAUCUACAGCCCUCUACACGCAGCAAGAUAUUUGGUCUAAAGCUCUACCCAGUGAACUGGUCUCACCGUAGAAAGGAGAUUACACCCCUGGGUAGAUCCAGAGAAUGUCAGGAGAAGCACCUACUGAAUCUUGAUAAGACUAUAACAGUUGUAGGUUGUUACGUUGAACCUAUGAAAGUUUAUUGUUACGUGGAUUUAUUUAUACACAUCAAUAACUUUCUUUGUAAAGGUACUGCAGAGAAACCACAUGCCUUACUUACUUUGACGUCCACCUUCUACAUAGAGAAAGACCACCAAACUGUGGAGUGCUCUGUCCAGCACACUGGCUGUCUAA